rnacentral:rRNA from 1 species
GCUCAGGAUGAACGCUAGCUACAGGCUUAACACAUGCAAGUCGAGGGGUAGCAGGGUAGCAAUACCGCUGACGACCGGCGCACGGGUGAGUAACACGUAUCCAACCUUCCCAUAACUCGGGGAUAGCCUUUCGGAAGAAAGAUUAAUACCCGAUAGUACUUUUUUAGGGCAUCUUAGAAAAGUUAAAGAUUUAUUGGUUAUGGAUGGGGAUGCGUUCCAUUAGAUAGUUGGUGAGGUAACGGCUCACCAAGUCUUCGAUGGAUAGGGGUUCUGAGAGGAAGGUCCCCCACAUUGGUACUGAGACACGGACCAAACUCCUACGGGAGGCAGCAGUGAGGAAUAUUGGUCAAUGGGCGAGAGCCUGAACCAGCCAAGUAGCG